GACGAACGCUGGCGGCGUGCCUAAUACAUGCAAGUCGAACGCAGUGGGGACGGGUGAGUAACACGUGGGUAACCUCCCAUCAGAGGGGAUAACACUUGGAAACAGGUGCUAAACUGAUACUGAUGGAUGGACCCGCGGUGGUUUGGCUAGUGGGUGAGGUAACGGCGCACCAAGGCCACGAUGCAUAGCGGACCGGAGAGGGGGAUCGGCCACACGGGAACUGAGACACGGCCCAGACUCCUACGGGAGGCAGCAGUGGGGAAUAUGCGGCAAUGGACGAAAGUCUGACCGAGAAACGCCGCGUGAGGGAAGAAGGUUUUGGGAUCUUAAAACUCUGUUGUUAGGGAAGCGGUAUCUAACCAGAAAGCAACGGCUAACUACGUGCCAGCAGCCGCGGUAAUUC
rnacentral:rRNA from 1 species